rnacentral:lncRNA from 12 species
AUGAUAAAUAUUAACUUUUAUCUUAAUCUAAACCUUAAGAUCAUUUUACAUGAAGAGCAAAUUUUUUUUUUUUUUUUUUUUUUUUUUUUUUUUUUUUUUUUUUUUUUUUUUUUUUUUUUUUUUUUUUUUUUUUUUUUUUUUUUUUUUUUUUUUUUUUUUUUUUUUUUUUUUUUUUUUUUUUUUUUUUUUUUUUUUUUUUUUUUUUUUUUUUUUUUUUUUUUUUUUUUUUUUUUUUUUUUUUUUUUUUUUUUUUUUUUUUUUUUUUUUUUUUUUUUUUUUUUUUUUUUUUUUUUUUUUUUUUUUUUUUUUUUUUUUUUUUUUUUUUUUUUUUUUUUUUUUUUUUUUUUUUUUUUUUUUUUUUUUUUUUUUUUUUUUUUUUUUUUUUUUUUUUUUUUUUUUUUUUUUUUUUUUUUUUUUUUUUUUUUUUUUUUUUUUUUUUUUUUUUUUUUUUUUUUUUUUUUUUUUUUUUUUUUUUUUUUUUUUUUUUUUUUUUUUUUUUUUUUUUUUUUUUUUUUUUUUUUUUUUUUUUUUUUUUUUUUUUUUUUUUUUUUUUUUUUUUUUUUUUUUUUUUUUUUUUUUUUUUUUUUUUUUUUUUUUUUUUUUUUUUUUUUUUUUUUUUUUUUUUUUUUUUUUUUUUUUUUUUUUUUUUUUUUUUUUUUUUUUUUUUUUUUUUUUUUUUUUUUUUUUUUUUUUUUUUUUUUUUUUUUUUUUUUUUUUUUUUUUUUUUUUUUUUUUUUUUUUUUUUUUUUUUUUUUUUUUUUUUUUUUUUUUUUUUUUUUUUUUUUUUUUUUUUUUUUUUUUUUUUUUUUUUUUUUUUUUUUUUUUUUUUUUUUUUUUUUUUUUUUUUUUUUUUUUUUUUUUUUUUUUUUUUUUUUUUUUUUUUUUUUUUUUUUUUUUUUUUUUUUUUUUUUUUUUUUUUUUUUUUUUUUUUUUUUUUUUUUUUUUUUUUUUUUUUUUUUUUUUUUUUUUUUUUUUUUUUUUUUUUUUUUUUUUUUUUUUUUUUUUUUUUUUUUUUUUUUUUUUUUUUUUUUUUUUUUUUUUUUUUUUUUUUUUUUUUUUUUUUUUUUUUUUUUUUUUUUUUUUUUUUUUUUUUUUUUUUUUUUUUUUUUUUUUUUUUUUUUUUUUUUUUUUUUUUUUUUUUUUUUUUUUUUUUUUUUUUUUUUUUUUUUUUUUUUUUUUUUUUUUUUUUUUUUUUUUUUUUUUUUUUUUUUUUUUUUUUUUUUUUUUUUUUUUUUUUUUUUUUUUUUUUUUUUUUUUUUUUUUUUUUUUUUUUUUUUUUUUUUUUUUUUUUUUUUUUUUUUUUUUUUUUUUUUUUUUUUUUUUUUUUUUUUUUUUUUUUUUUUUUUUUUUUUUUUUUUUUUUUUUUUUUUUUUUUUUUUUUUUUUUUUUUUUUUUUUUUUUUUUUUUUUUUUUUUUUUUUUUUUUUUUUUUUUUUUUUUUUUUUUUUUUUUUUUUUUUUUUUUUUUUUUUUUUUUUUUUUUUUUUUUUUUUUUUUUUUUUUUUUUUUUUUUUUUUUUUUUUUUUUUUUUUUUUUUUUUUUUUUUUUUUUUUUUUUUUUUUUUUUUUUUUUUUUUUUUUUUUUUUUUUUUUUUUUUUUUUUUUUUUUUUUUUUUUUUUUUUUUUUUUUUUUUUUUUUUUUUUUUUUUUUUUUUUUUUUUUUUUUUUUUUUUUUUUUUUUUUUUUUUUUUUUUUUUUUUUUUUUUUUUUUUUUUUUUUUUUUUUUUUUUUUUUUUUUUUUUUUUUUUUUUUUUUUUUUUUUUUUUUUUUUUUUUUUUUUUUUUUUUUUUUUUUUUUUUUUUUUUUUUUUUUUUUUUUUUUUUUUUUUUUUUUUUUUUUUUUUUUUUUUUUUUUUUUUUUUUUUUUUUUUUUUUUUUUUUUUUUUUUUUUUUUUUUUUUUUUUUUUUUUUUUUUUUUUUUUUUUUUUUUUUUUUUUUUUUUUUUUUUUUUUUUUUUUUUUUUUUUUUUUUUUUUUUUUUUUUUUUUUUUUUUUUUUUUUUUUUUUUUUUUUUUUUUUUUUUUUUUUUUUUUUUUUUUUUUUUUUUUUUUUUUUUUUUUUUUUUUUUUUUUUUUUUUUUUUUUUUUUUUUUUUUUUUUUUUUUUUUUUUUUUUUUUUUUUUUUUUUUUUUUUUUUUUUUUUUUUUUUUUUUUUUUUUUUUUUUUUUUUUUUUUUUUUUUUUUUUUUUUUUUUUUUUUUUUUUUUUUUUUUUUUUUUUUUUUUUUUUUUUUUUUUUUUUUUUUUUUUUUUUUUUUUUUUUUUUUUUUUUUUUUUUUUUUUUUUUUUUUUUUUUUUUUUUUUUUUUUUUUUUUUUUUUUUUUUUUUUUUUUUUUUUUUUUUUUUUUUUUUUUUUUUUUUUUUUUUUUUUUUUUUUUUUUUUUUUUUUUUUUUUUUUUUUUUUUUUUUUUUUUUUUUUUUUUUUUUUUUUUUUUUUUUUUUUUUUUUUUUUUUUUUUUUUUUUUUUUUUUUUUUUUUUUUUUUUUUUUUUUUUUUUUUUUUUUUUUUUUUUUUUUUUUUUUUUUUUUUUUUUUUUUUUUUUUUUUUUUUUUUUUUUUUUUUUUUUUUUUUUUUUUUUUUUUUUUUUUUUUUUUUUUUUUUUUUUUUUUUUUUUUUUUUUUUUUUUUUUUUUUUUUUUUUUUUUUUUUUUUUUUUUUUUUUUUUUUUUUUUUUUUUUUUUUUUUUUUUUUUUUUUUUUUUUUUUUUUUUUUUUUUUUUUU